AUGGGCGGAAGCCUGAUGCAGCAACGCCGCGUGCGGGAUGACGGCCUUCGGGUUGUAAACCGCUUUCACCCAUGACGAAGCGCGAGUGACGGUAGUGGGGGAAGAAGCACCGGCCAACUACGCGCCAGCAGCCGCGGUGAUACGUAGGGUGCGAGCGUUGUCCGGAAUUAUUGGGCGUAAAGAGCUUGUAGGCGGUUGAUCGCGUCGAUAGUGAAAUCCCGGGGCUCAACCUCGGGCUUGCUGUCGAUACGGGUUGACUUGAGGAAGGUAGGGGAGAAUGGAACUCCCGGUGGAGCGGUGGAAUGCGCAGAUAUCGGGAAGAACACCGGUGGCGAAGGCGGUUCUCUGGACCUUUCCUGACGCUGGGAAGCGAAAGCGUGGGGAGCAAACAGGCUUAGAUACCCUGGUAGUCCACGCUGUAAACGGUGGGUACUAGGUGUAGGUCGCAUUCCACAUGAUCCGUGCCGUAGCCAACGCAUUAAGUACCCCGCCUGGGGAGUACGGCCGCAAGGCAAAAACUCAAAGGAAUUGACGGGGCCCCGCACAAGCGGCGGAGCAUGCGGAUUAAUUCGAUGCAACGCGAAGAACCUUACCUGGGGUUUGACAUGUACUGGAAGCGCUCAGAGAUGGGGCGUGGCCUUUU
rnacentral:rRNA from 1 species